rnacentral:rRNA from 1 species
GAGUUUGAUCGUGGCUCAGAACGAACGCUGGCGGCGUGGAUAAGACAUGCAAGUCGAGCGAUCAUUACGGGGUAGCAAUAUUCCGUGGUGGGAGCGGCGCAAGGGUGCGUAACACGUGGGUAAUCUGCCAUGAAGUUUGGGAUAAUCCCGCGAAAGCGGGACUAAUACCGGAUGUGACCAUUGGGAGGCCUCUUUUGAUGGUUAAAGUUGGGGACCGUAAGGCCUGACGCUUCAUGAUGAGCCCGCGGCCUAUCAGCUAGUUGGUGAGGUAACGGCUCACCAAGGCGAAGACGGGUAGCUGGUCUGAGAGGACGACCAGCCACACUGGAACUGAGACACGGUCCAGACACCUACGGGUGGCAGCAGUCGAGAAUUUUUCACAAUGGGCGCAAGCCUGAUGGAGCGACGCCGCGUGGGGGAUGAAUGGCUUCGGCCCGUAAACCCCUGUCAUUUGCGAUCAAAGCUCAUGAUUUAAAAGAUGAUGAGUUGAUAGUAGCGAAAGA